GGCUCAGGAUGAACGCUAGCGGCAGGCCUAACACAUGCAAGUCGAGGGGUAUAGGGAGCUUGCUUCCUAGAGACCGGCGCACGGGUGCGUAACGCGUAUGCAAUCUACCUUGUACAGGGGAAUAGCCCAGAGAAAUUUGGAUUAAUGCCCCAUAGUAUGUAUGAAUCGCAUGGUUUAUACAUUAAAGUUCCAACGGUAAAAGAUGAGCAUGCGUCCCAUUAGUUAGUUGGUAAGGUAACGGCUUACCAAGACGAUGAUGGGUAGGGGUCCUGAGAGGGAGAUCCCCCACACUGGUACUGAGACACGGACCAGACUCCUACGGGAGGCAGCAGUGAGGAAUAUUGGACAAUGGGCGCAAGCCUGAUCCAGCCAUGCCGCGUGCAGGAAGAAGCAUCUAUGGUGUGUAAACUGCUUUUGUACAAGAAGAAACACUCCCUCGUGAGGGAGCUUGACGGUACUGUAAGAAUAAGGAUCGGCUAACUCCGUG
rnacentral:rRNA from 1 species